ensembl:lncRNA
UGCUUUUUAUACAGAUUGUGACUUUAUUGUCAUCAGCACAUAAUGAAUCUAGUCAUUUUUUGGCCAUUUUUAUUUAUGUGUGCCUUUUUUGCAUGAACUUGCAAUAGUUGUGGUCAGUGUAAUGUUGGUUACUUAGGUAUGUUCAUGGUAGCCAGCUUUCCAAAAUCCUUUUCAAUGUGCAUAUUUUGAUUUUUACAUUUGUUUGCAAGAACUUUAUUGAUAUGACUCAGAGUAGUCUUGAGCAAAAAUAUUUUAUACAAAAAUAUGCUUAUGAUGUCAGCUAGACAGUUGUGCUUUUUCAUGCAGAGUAUAUAUAUAGCACCAUUUUAAAAUGUGUAUUGAUAAUGUGAAUUGAUUCAGAGACCACAGAGACAUUUUCCCUGCUUGUGCACAGAUGAAAAGCAUGAGGCAUAUAGUGAUUCUGAUGACUCUCAUAAGUGAUAAGUUUAUCAGUGCAAUUUAAUUUUGCCUGUAUCUAGCAAAGAACUUUAAAACUUUAAAACUUUAAACAUUUUUUUUAACAGAUUAGUAAUCGAGUUUUCUCAUAGCUGCGUUCGCUGCUCCAUUUGUGAAAGGGGAGCAGGCCAAGAAAUUUUUACGUCUAAAGAAACAGUCCGGCUACUGGGACCCCAACAAUGCCCAGAACCAGUUUGGUUACACCAUACAGGAGCAGGCAAAUGAAUACUGGACUGAUCUGAGAACAAAUGCUCAGUAUUACAUGAACAUGGGAAACCUGGUGUUUGACCGUUCUCUGGCCGAGCGAGUAGCUUAGGUAGUCUAAAUUAUGUGAUCGAGAACACAAAAUACAAUGCAAUUAAAUAACAAGGAAAUAAAUGUUUUCUCUCUCUCCA